CCUAAAGACCAGCUUUACAGUAAGAAGAAAAUGGAAGGUGUUACUGUUUUCUUUAAAGAAGAGUUUGAAGGCUGCUGCAGGGAGGAGUCCACACCAGGCAUCCAGGGACACUGUGUGGCAUGGCUGUCUGCCCUGUCUGAAAGCGCAGCACCUACUGCCUCUGUGUGUGCAUCGAUCUGAGUGCGCGUUGAUCGGAGCCCGGCAGAGCCCGCCAGCUUCUCUGAAACCACGUUGUGUCCGAGAUGAAGCAUCUGCUCGAGCAGAAAGCAAGAAGCACACACGUUCAGUGACUCCAGGACACUGCUAGAGGCUCGCUCUCCGGCAGUGCCAUGGCGACUGCAGAAGUCUGCUCUUGAGAUCUGCAACCACUUUGUGGAAUUUGUGGUUGAGUUUGGCAUCAGAAGCCACAGGUUUCCUGUAGUGUUGUAACUGCUGUAAGUGGGCUGUUGGUGUCUUUCUGCACUUAGAAUUUGUAGUUGAAUUUUGCAUUGGAAGCCACAGUUCUUCACAACAUUCCUAAUGGUUUUCAAGUACAGUGAAAUACACUAUCAAGAAUUCACCCUGCCAUUGGUGUUGAUUGAGUGUAGUCACCGGCAUGUGUGCUGUUCAGUUUCACAUCCUGAUAUUCUUGUUUGUUUUUAAAAGGGGGGAUGGGGACCAAAGCACAUAGUCAGGAAGAUGGCAUCCAGCUUGCCAGCCAAACACCAACUGUUACCCAGGAAAAGCCUUUAGUCCCUUUAAUCAUCUCAAGGAUUCAGAGGCUGGAAGUGCUCACCCACGUCAGCUGUGGGAGGGAGGAGGGCUGGCACAGGUGAGGAUGAGACCAUUGGAACUGGGAGUUUUAAAGAAAUUUUCAUAUAUCAAAGCAUUUAAAGCAUCUAGCAACAAAGAUAUUUCUUCUGUAAAUAUCAGUUAGGUAAUAUUUAUUUUAUCUAUCCCUGUGGGAAAAUGGUGAUCGUUGUAAUGUUGGCAUUUGUGAUGAUUUGCAAAUCUUUACAUUUAACUUAUUAUGAUUUAAUCACCUAAAAUUGAUACAUUGUCUUGAUUUAUAGGAAGGUAUCUAAGUGUGAGAAAUUCCAACUGUACCAUAAGAUUGCGUUGUGUUUCAUAUAGUGCUAAAGCCGAUGCGCUCUCGAAUUUCUCGGGAGCAUUGCAAGGCGAAGAAGCCUCCAAAUAAAAAUGAUGUAAGUCGGCUGUGUCCUCAUCCACAAUAAAAACAUUGGGAAACAGCUGCCGGUGUCUCUUGAGGAGAAGUGACUUGCCUGUAUUGUUUGUAGCAGCCUCUGAUGAUGUGGGUGUUCACUCACUUUACACAUCUGCUGCAGGGAU
rnacentral:lncRNA from 1 species